rnacentral:rRNA from 1 species
UACGUAGGGUGCAAGCGUUGUCCGGAAUUAUUGGGCGUAAAGAGCUCGUAGGCGGUCUGUCGCGUCUGCUGUGAAAACUCAGGGCUUAACCCUGAGCUUGCAGUGGGUACGGGCAGACUAGAGGCAUGCAGGGGAGAACGGAAUUCCUGGUGUAGCGGUGAAAUGCGCAGAUAUCAGGAGGAACACCGGUGGCGAAGGCGGUGGUCUGGGCCGGAACUGACGCUGAGGAGCGAAAGCGUGGGGAGCAAACAGG